rnacentral:rRNA from 1 species
GACGAACGCUGGCGGCGUGCCUAAUACAUGCAAGUCGAGCGGACCGAAGGGAGCUUGCUCCUUUAGGUUAGCGGCGGACGGGUGAGUAACACGUGGGCAACCUGCCCUGCAGACUGGGAUAACUUCGGGGAACCGGAGCUAAUACCGGAUAACACCGAGAACCGCAUGGUUUUCGGUUGAAAGGCGGCUUUAGCUGUCACUGCAGGAUGGGCCCGCGGCGCAUUAGCUAGUUGGUGGGGUAAUGGCCUACCAAGGCGGCGACGGGUAGCCGGCCUGAGAGGGUGGACGGCCACAUUGGGACUGAGAUUACGGCCCAG